rnacentral:rRNA from 1 species
AUUGAACGCUGGCGGAAUGCUUUACACAUGCAAGUCGAACGGUAGAGGGGGCAACCCCUCGAGAGUGGCGAACGGGUGAGUGAUAUAUCGGAACGUGCCCAGUCGUGGGGGAUAACGUAGCGAAAGUUACGCUAAUACCGCAUACGAUCUAAGGAUGAAAGCGGGGGAUCGCAAGACCUCGCGCGCUUGGAGCGGCCGAUAUCAGAUUAGGUAGUUGGUGGGGUAAAGGCUCACCAAGCCAACGAUCUGUAGCUGGUCUGAGAGGACGACCAGCCACACUGGAACUGAGACACGGUCCAGACUCCUACGGGAGGCAGCAGUGGGGAAUUUUGGACAAUGGACGCAAGUCUGAUCCAGCCAUUCCGCGUGCAGGAUGAAGGCCCUCGGGUUGUAAACUGCUUUUGUACGGAACGAAAAGGUCUCUCUUAAUACGGGGGGCUCAUGACGGUACCGUAAGAAUAAGCACCGGCUAACUACGUGCCAGCCGCCGCAGUAA